rnacentral:pre_miRNA from 1 species
AACAUACUCCUUCCGUUUGGAAUUACUUGUCACAAAAAUGGAUGUAUCUACAACUAAAAUACAUCUAGAUACAUUCAUUUUUUGGACGAGUAAUUCCGAACGGAGGGAGUACGUG